GGCUGGCUGAUAUCAGAAAGGAGGUGACGAACUCCCUCAUCAAUUGUCUCGACUGAAGUCAUGAUAUAUAGGUCAGUUGAUCAAAGUUUUGUUACUCUAGCUCCCUCUACUUAAUAUUCUAUACAUGGCCGGUCUCAUAGUUGAUUGUCAGGAAUUAGUUUCGAUUUUAGCUCGCAAUCGGGAACGAGACCAUGCAUCUUGGGUAAAAUUAUGUAGUAACAAACUUGAUUAUAUAGUUAGCAUAUAUACAUAAUGCUCAUGUAGAAUUAAGAUCUACCUGGUUACUUAUUUCAGUGGAAAUAUGAACUUCCUCAGGAUAUAUGAGCUCAUAUCUUGUUGUGUAAAAUAUAAAUCCAGUUGACAUGGCUUAUUACAUUGCUUAAAAAUUGUUGCAUCCAUUUGUGGCAAAAGAGAUAUACUGCAAGCAUAUAUAAUAUAUACACCAGUGCCGAUAAAAUAUUAAAUUGGUGAAGGUCACUAUUUUUGGGUGCCAGCCAGCGGCACCAUGCAAAGGGAGAAAAAGCUAAUGCCCCGUCAACUGAAACUGUGUAACCAACUUUUUGUUGCAAUCGUCGAAGGCUAUAAUGUUCCAUGCUAUAUAAACUCCAUUACAUGCCCCUGUUUUAGCGAGUGGAAUUAUUAUUUAAGCAAGUCUGAUGACUUCAUUAUCAUAGUAUAUGUUUCCAUUCUGUGAUGGAAACUUUUUAGUUUUGAUAUUAUAUUAAUUUGUUAAAAACUGAGCAGUCCAAACAUCAAUUCGACUUUAAUACACUAUCAUGAUCUUGUUGAUGCAGUCUUAGAUUUGUUUUUCCCUAUGUGUGUGUGUGUAAUGCAUCUUAUAUCCUGGCUCGCUCAUGUUCAUAAUUAAUUACUCGCAAUAGGUUUUGUGCAAUCAAGCUUUUGAUAACAAUCUAUUGAUGCAGUUAUCAGUUUUCUUCACUUGCCCAUUUGUUGCAGAACUGGAGCGAACCUGAAAUGCGUUCAGUUUACAGGUGUUAAAAGACAGCAACACCAGGAAGACACCGGAAGUGGGGCCUAUUAUAUUAAGCCACAAUUCACUAGUUGGUUAUUUUGGUUUCUAUUCUGCUCGAUAUUUAUAUAUACUCUAUCUAUGUUACUACUGGUGUUAUCAAAUUUUGGUCCGGGUGGGACAUGUCUGAACGAUUGAUUCAAGUAUUAAUGAUAUUGGGUCUCUCUGAACUUGGCCUCUUAACUCACAUGUUUUGCUGAACUUCAUGCAUAGAGAUCAAGGCUAUUUAUUGUGCUCAUUAUUUAUUCUACUGCUGUAGAUAUGAGAGACCAUGACGCCUACUGUUUAUUUUUUGUGAUUGGUUUGUGGUUUCAUCGGUAAUUUGAUU
rnacentral:lncRNA from 1 species